rnacentral:rRNA from 2 species
GUUCUCCCUGAGACUUUAAGUCUCCUGAAGGAACGUUGAAGACGACGACGUUGAUAGGCCGGGUGUGUAAGCGCAGCGAUGCGUUGAGCUAACCGGUACUAAUGAACCGUGAGGCUUAACCUU